ACUUCUCUUAACUUCUAUCGUUUUGUUCUCCAUCAAGUUUCAGUUCUUUUUGCAUGAUCCUAUGAAUGUUCAAAUGGAUUCAAACAAAGACUCUGGCUGUAAGAAGCUCAAUUAAUAGUCUCUUCGGCUGCUUUUCGUAAAGUUAACAUUUCCUUUUUGUUCUACGUUAAGAUGUAAUCUGGAUUUGAUAAUAUUUCAUUCUUUUACAGAUCUGUACAAACUAGUCGUGCUAAACUUGGAAGGGUCUUUUGUUACUGCGUCAUGUUUGGAUUACCUCACAGCUCUCACUUCGUUGAAGUCGCUAAAUGUCAAUAGAUCUCACCUUUUAGAUGAUGGAUGUGAGAAGUUUUUGGGUAAGUGGAAGACAUUUGUUAUCUGCCAAAAAGAACUGACUAAAGCAAAACCAUUCCACAUUGUUAGCCAACCGUUUUAUAUCUGCAGUACUCAGCAGUUUGAAAGAAUUAAAUUUGGGAUUUAACAAUAUCACGGAUACAUGAAUUUGUUGUGUAUCAUAAUAUUUUAGAUGGUGAAUUGAUACAUGAAUUUGUUGUAUAUCAUAAUAUUUUAUAUGUAUCAUGAAGUUUUGAAAAUUGUUAUAAUGUAUCAUUCAAUAAGUUUAGUAAAUGCAUCAUCAACUGUGCUUGAUGAUACAUAUAGAAUCAGCGUGUACAGUGUUUAGUCAAUGCAUUGAUACAUGUAGUAGAUAUGUAUCACAUGUUUUGCAUGUAGUAUGAAUUCCUGAAAACUGAUAUCAUGUAUCAGUAAGGUAUUAGUUGUUUAGUUGAUGUACUGAUACAUGUUUUGAAAAUUGUUAUAAUGUAUCAUUCACUAAACUUAAUAAAUGCGUCAUCAACUGUACUGGAUGAUA